rnacentral:rRNA from 1 species
CCUACGGGAGGCAGCAGUGGGGAAUAUUGGACAAUGGGGGCAACCCUGAUCCAGCGAUGCCGCGUGUGUGAAGAAGGCCUGAGGGUUGUAAAGCACUUUCGGUGGGGAGGAGGUUUGUGUAGGUUAAGAGCUAAUAUGAAUGACGCUACCCACAGAAGAAGCACCGGCCAACUCCGUGCCAGCAGCCGCGGUAAUGCGGAGGGUGCGAGCGUUAAUCGGAAUUACUGGGCGUAAAGGGUGCGUAGGUGGUUUAAUAAGUUAGCUGUGAAAACUCUGGGCUUAACCUGGAGGUGUCAGCUAAGACUGUUAGGCUAGAGUAUAGGAGAGGGUAGUGGAAUUUCCGGUGUAGCGGUGAAAUGCGUAGAUAUCGGAAGGAACACCGGUGGCGAAGGCGGCUACCUGGCCUGAUACUGACACUGAGGCACGAAAGCGUGGGGAGCAAACGGGAUUAGAUACCCUGGUAGUCCACGCUGUAAACGAUGUCAACUAGCUGUUAGUUACAAAAAGUGAUUAGUGGCGCAGCAAACGCGAUAAGUUGACCGCCUGGGGAGUACGGUCGCAAGAUUAAAACUCAAAGGAAUUGACGG